UUGGGUUUGAAUGCUAGAUUCUUGCUCCAUGAUGUCAGGUCACUGAAUAUUGCAUCGAAAACGGUGGCUACGUUUGUCGAUGUCAUUUCGACCGCGUCCACUAGCGAGCAGAUGAGAGCGUACUGGGCCUCAAAGAAUGCCAUCAGAUGGCAUCUGUUUGAAUUAUGCCUGUGUAGCACACGUAGCCCUUAUGCUCACGAGUCAGACACGAUUUGGACAUGGGUCAGGCAUAAUGGUGGUGUCGAAAAAGUCUAUAUACGGCAGCCAAGUAUUCAUCCCUAUAUACGCAAGCAGCACUAAAGAUAGCCGUACGUCGCCGUGAACGAAACAAUCCGAUCCGACGCCUCGGGACAUGUGAGUAAGAGCCCGCGUGUGUUGGCGAACAACCAUUCCAACUCUGCAGACUCAAGUGUGUAGAGGGCACAGAUAUACACGAUAAGGUCAUCACGGGAAUAGAUGGGCGACAGCAUACGAUCAUGAAAAUGACGACCCAUGACGACCAGACCUACCAUCUUCUGUUUGGAGAAGGCGGCACGAGUGUAAUCUGUGAGGACGACGAUCCGCUCAUCAUUCAGUGUACCGCCGGGCCGAUUUCAGAGGUGUCGGUGACGUACGGCUACGACCCGGAGACCGACGGCACCACUUCCGCCAAUGUCCCUCAUGCAGGAUCCGAUCCCCUCUGCAUGCAAUGACCUUUCGAUGUUCGCUGAUACUGUUUGCGUAGGGAUGACUAGCUGCACAUUACCGUUUAUCGACGCGCCAAUUUUUGAUCCAUGUGAGGAUCGUGUCUCGAUCGCGCGCCUAAGCUGGAAGUGUGGUAUGACAACUGUUACACCCGACCAGAAGGCAUUCUUUGAGGCCCAGUACGCUCUCAUCUGCUCGCUAGUGGACGCGGUCGAGAUGACAUCGACAAACGUAGCCACCGUUUUCGAUGCAAUAUUCAGUGACCUGACAUCAUGGAGCAAGAAUCUAACAUUCAAACCCAAACAUCGCCGUAACAUCGGUUACGGGAAAUGAUCGCUAUUUGUUCAUCUCGUUAAAAAAUCUGCUCCAAAUAUAAACAAUAAAUGAUAUGUGGUGCCCAUCAGUGUCUAACGUUCGUUACUCUAUAUUGCAUUGUGUAUAUCGAUGGCGCGGUAUGGGCAUCGCAGGUCUACGGAAAUUGUGUCAUUUACACGUAAUGUAACGAGCGACAAUGAAGCCAAAUUGAUUUCAUCGAUUUAAGGUUUUGCCACCGCUUAGUGCAGACUGUACGUCAUUGACAUGUCGUAUCUACUUAUACUAGGCUAAUGUACUUAUAACAGAUAACAAAUUUAGUAUUUUGUAUAUGCAGGCACAUCUUUCAACUCAAUAUUACUAACUUGCUUGAAUUAUUUAAUAAAAAAAAUAAAAAAAUAGGUGAUAGGUGAUUGAAAAUGUAUGCACUAUUGGUAUUUUCUAAUUGGGCCAUUUUUAACAUUGCCGACGACGACUCGCAAUGCGACGAUUGGGACGAUUACUACGAACAGCUCGAUUGGUUCGAGGCAAUGCAUCCCGGAUGGACGAUUGUCGAUGACAACAUCGUUAGAAAAUAAAAAAUAAGAAAAAAUGUGAUGAAUACGAAUAAAAAAAAAUAAUACCGAGAUAACAAACAAAA